rnacentral:rRNA from 1 species
GAUGAACGCUGGCGGCGUGCCUAAUACAUGCAAGUCGAGCGAACGGACGAGAAGCUUGCUUCUCUGAUGUUAGCGGCGGACGGGUGAGUAACACGUGGAUAACCUACCUAUAAGACUGGGAUAACUUCGGGAAACCGGAGCUAAUACCGGAUAAUAUUUUGAACCGCAUGGUUCAAAAGUGAAAGACGGUCUUGCUGUCACUUAUAGAUGGAUCCGCGCUGCAUUAGCUAGUUGGUAAGGUAACGGCUUACCAAGGCAACGAUGCAUAGCCGACCUGAGAGGGUGAUCGGCCACACUGGAACUGAGACACGGUCCAGACUCCUACGGGAGGCAGCAGUAGGGAAUCUUCCGCAAUGGGCGAAAGCCUGACGGAGCAACGCCGCGUGAGUGAUGAAGGUCUUCGGAUCGUAAAACUCUGUUAUUAGGGAAGAACAUAUGUGUAAGUAACUGUGCACAUCUUGACGGUACCUAAUCAGAAAGCCACGGCUAACUACGUGCCAGCAGCCGCGGUAAUACGUAGGUGGCAAGCGUUAUCCGGAAUUAUUGGGCGUAAAGCGCGCGUAGGCGGUUUUUUAAGUCUGAUGUGAAAGCCCACGGCUCAACCGUGGAGGGUCAUUGGAAACUGGAAAACUUGAGUGCAGAAGAAGAAAGUGGAAUUCCAUGUGUAGCGGUGAAAUGCGCAGAGAUAUGGAGGAACACCAGUGGCGAAGGCGACUUUCUGGUCUGUAACUGACGCUGAUGUGCGAAAGCGUGGGGAUCAAACAGGAUUAGAUACCCUGGUAGUCCACGCCGUAAACGAUGAGUGCUAAGUGUUAGGGGGUUUCCGCCCCUUAGUGCUGCAGCUAACGCAUUAAGCACUCCGCCUGGGGAGUACGACCGCAAGGUUGAAACUCAAAGGAAUUGACGGGGACCCGCACAAGCGGUGGAGCAUGUGGUUUAAUUCGAAGCAACGCGAAGAACCUUACCAAAUCUUGACAUCCUUUGACAACUCUAGAGAUAGAGCUUUCCCCUUCGGGGGACAAAGUGACAGGUGGUGCAUGGUUGUCGUCAGCUCGUGUCGUGAGAUGUUGGGUUAAGUCCCGCAACGAGCGCAACCCUUAAGCUUAGUUGCCAUCAUUAAGUUGGGCACUCUAAGUUGACUGCCGGUGACAAACCGGAGGAAGGUGGGGAUGACGUCAAAUCAUCAUGCCCCUUAUGAUUUGGGCUACACACGUGCUACAAUGGACAAUACAAAGGGCAGCGAAACCGCGAGGUCAAGCAAAUCCCAUAAAGUUGUUCUCAGUUCGGAUUGUAGUCUGCAACUCGACUACAUGAAGCUGGAAUCGCUAGUAAUCGUAGAUCAGCAUGCUACGGUGAAUACGUUCCCGGGUCU